rnacentral:lncRNA from 1 species
AGAAACCAUGGCUAGGGUUUUUCAAGCUUCUAAGCUCAAUUGUAAGUUCGUUCUAUUCCCGUUUUUAAUGAUUUUUACGUUUUUGAAAUCCUCGUAACAAGAUUUAACUAUUUUUACCAUUGUUAUGAACUAGGGUUUGUGUUUAAAAAUUUACCCAUGAAUUAUAUGCAUGUAUUUUGAUGUUUUAUGGAAGAAUAUGAUUGUUUGGAGUGUAAUAUACGAUUUGUACUAAGUAAUUUUCGAUGAAAAUGCCUAAAAGGAUUAAUUUGUAAAAGUUAUAAAAUAUGUCACAAGUGUGUGAAUAAGUGAGUAUUGUGGACAGAUAUAGUUAUUAAAAUGGUUCAGCUAGGUCUAAAAUGCAAGGAAAUUGAAUAAAAAUUAUUUUACGAGCGUAGGGGCAAAAUUGUAAUUUUGUAAAAUUUUAAGGGCAAAAAAAUAAUUUUUAUAAAGUAUGAUUUUUGGACUAGAACGAAUAGUGUGAAGGUUAUAUAAGUUAAAUGUAUUAUUAUAAAUCAAGAAAGACGAGAAAUUGAAAUUGAUCGAUGAAAAGAAAAGUGAGAAAAAGUGAAAAAUUCCUGAAUGAACCUUUGGAAUAAAAAGGGAUACGAAUGAAGUGACAGAUAUGAUCACAUGUGGCAUGGAUUGUGUGUAGGACACUAUGUAAAAGUGAAAGUGAUGGUCACAUGUGUAGUACUAUGUGCAGGCUACUACGUGUACCGGAAUGAUAGGUCGCAUGUGUAGUACUAUGUGCAGGCUACUAUGCGUAUUGGAUAGUUUCAAUCACUUGUGUAGUACUAUGUGCAGGCUACUACGUAUAUAUGAUGGCAAUGGUCACAUGUGUAGUACUAUGUGCAAGCUACUAUGUGAACUAAACAUUAUUGGUUUGUAAGGUGGUUGCUAUGCGCUGAUUCGACCGGACAUCAUUGAUUAAUCAGGUGGUUGCUAUGUGCUGAACCCACCGAGUAUCUAUUAUUAUUCUGAAGUAUUCAUCGGGAAAUUGACUAAGUGUAAUUGAAUAAUGAAUAUAGGUGUGGAAUUGAAUUGAAUAUCGACUUGGAAAUGGAAAAGUGAAUUUUGAAUUGAAUUGUGAUUGAAAGUGAAAAAGUGAAAUUAUGAAAGAGUACAUUUAGCAAUAAAAAAGUUUAGACACCAACAUUUGUGUGAAUUUGAAAAAUCACCAAAAAUGGUGGAGAUUGAAUUAGAGGUUGAAUAAUAUAUGAAAUUGAAUCUGAAUGAGUCUAUUUUCAGAUAAUAGAAAUAGAGCAAGCAAAAGAGUUAUAUAUUUUGAGAUAUUUGAAGUUUAUUUAGAAUCCUCAGUGAACCUAUUUUCAAGAGAAAUAAACAGAAACAAUAUCCAAAUUCUGUACAAUGAGAUAAUUAAUUUUUAGUUAAGAGAGGUUAGAACUGUCGAGCAGUGAAAUAGGGGAAACUUUAAAGAAUAAACUGUACUAUCUGGUUAAACCAAAAAUUCUGAAAAUUUUUGUAAGAAUAUAUGUGAAUCUAGUUUCAGGAAAAUUAAUGGUUCCUAAUUUGGAGCUCUGUAGCUCAAGGUAAAAAUAAUUUAGUAACUCUGACUCGGAGAGACAGUUUUAAGUAUACAUGUAAGUGAAUAGUGAAACUAUAGAAAAUGUUAUUUCUAAGAGUGUUAUGUACAUUAAGGAUGUGGAAUGGAGAGGAGGAGGAGGAAAAUUGGAAGAACAUAUGAAUGAUUUGUGUAUAAUUGGCCAUAUACUCGAUUAUAACCGAUAAACAAUUGAAAAGAAAUGAUGUUUAUAAUUGUGCAUUAUUAGUUAUGGUUAAAGUUCAUGUGAGAAAAUAAAGUUUCAUAGUAAGUGUAUGUGGUAUACUUGGUAUAUGAUUUGGUAUGUAGCAAUGUCAGAAAUGAUUUAUGAAUUAACUCAUGUUGAUAAGUUUGAUACAUAAAUAAAUGUGGUGCUUAUCCAUGCUUAUAAUGCUUAUACUAUAUGUUUAUUUGGCUAGCAUGUUUGGUGUAUAUGCUUAGGUUUUGGCUAAGUUGUGGCUGGAUUAUGCCACAUUAAAUUUAUAAAAUUAUGCAUUGAGAUGGUAAAUGCCUAGAUGGAAAUAUGCUUGUGAUCGUAAAAGGGUGGUAAGGUUUAAAGUUUGUAAUCUUUAUUAAAAUGGUUUAUCAUGUGGUUAGUCUUCAAAAAGAACUAGCUUGCGACUAUGGUUGAGUGUAAUGUUUAUAUCUUGUGUGAUAUGCAUAGGAAACGAGAGUGGAAAGGAAAUGAAAUACUAAGUUCAUGCUUGAAGUGUAAAAUGACACAAAAGGCGACUUUAAGUUAAACGAUAAAUAUGUAUUAUUAUUGAACUUAAUGAAAUUGAACUGUCCGUGAAUUAAAUGGAAAUUGCAAAUGAUAUGAUUUGAAUUAAAUGAUUUAUUGUGGUACUGGAAUGUAUAUUGGAUUGAGAAAUUGAAUCGAAUCAUGAAGAUGAGAAUCGUGAAUUAAAUAAAAUGGAAAUAAAGUAUUGUAUUGGGUCUUAGAAGCCCUAUUUGUUACAAAUAUUGUAUUUGGAAGUUAUAACGUGAAGAUUUAUAAAAGCAUGUUAAAAAUUUGAAGAGUUUAAAUUUGAAUGAAAUUUUAUAACUCGGUUUAACAUGUUUAUAAGUGUAUGUGUUUUGGUAAUGCCUCGUACCCUAUUCCGGUGUCGAAUACGGGUAAGGGGUGUUACAUUUAGUGGUAUUAGAGAUACGGUUUAGUCGGUUCUCAGGCCGAACGUAGCAUAUGUGAGUCCAGCUAUACAUGCCAUGUAAUGACUCGUGAUGGUGUGAUAUCUUUGGGCUCUAGCAAAAUUGUUUUGUUAAGACAGAGAUGAUUUUCAACCGAGCUAUUUUCGAUAAUGCUGAAAAUGAUAUUGAGAUAAAUGAAAUAUGCUCACAUUAUGUUGGAAUUUGGAAAGGUAAGAAUAGAAAUUCGUGAUAUGUAUGUGUUCAUGAAUGAAAAGAGAUGAUCAUAAGUUGAAAAAAAAAUGAAAUGAAAGUUUAUGUUGUGAUAAGCUCAUCCAAGUAUGUUGGUGAUCAUAUGAUGCUAUGUGCUCAACAUAUUUGAUUAAGUGAAUAUGGUAAGCGAAUUUACUUAAAUAGAUGGAAUGUGUGUUUAUGUACAUUUGCUUGAAUAAGUGAAAUCGAUACGUUCAUAUGAUAGAAUCUUAUGUUUAGUUGUUAAAUUAGAGGUAAUAUGAUGUUUUGUUUUAUGUCUUUAUUAUUGAAUCCUGAAUAUUAUAAUAGUAUGAAAACUGAAUUAGAAGAUUAAAUUGAGUAGAACGCAGGAAUGAGUACUUUCGUUCAGUGAUAUGUGAUGAAUUGACGAAAAUGGCCAUGGUUGGACCAUGGCAACAUGUGAUAUGUGAUUUCCGUAUAAGACCAUAUUCGGGAUAUGGCAUCGGUGUGAUAUGUGCUACUGUGUAAGACCAUAGCUGGGUUAUGGCAUUAAUAUGUAAAUAUGUGCAAGACCAUAGUUAUACUAUGGCAUAGAGAAAACGAAGUACUCAAUUCUGUAAGACGUUCUCUAAUUAAAUAAAUGUCGGUAAGUAAAAUGGAAGCUAAGUAUUGGAAUUUAAUUAGAUAUUAAUAUUGAGCUUGAGGAAGUAAAUUCAUUGUGUAAAAGUGUGGGUGACAGAAAAUAUUCAUAAUAAAUAGAUGUGUUAAUUUGCUUGGAAUGAACUACGUGGUUAUGAUGAUAUGACACUGAUAAUGAAUGCAAAGUCAUAUAUAUAUGUAUCUAUGAGAGUAAGUUAGAGGCUUUAUGACCUCACCAUCACCCCCUUAUCAGUAUUGUUUUAUGACGAAAAUUAUUUUGAUGAAAUAAAUAUGUUUUUCAACUGAGUUAAUUUCAUAGUAUAGAAGUAAACACUUAAAUGUUUGAGUGAAAAUGUAUUGAUUAUGAGUUGAAACUCGUAAAGGUAUGGAUCAAAGAGUAUAACAUUUUGUUAUUGAUAAAUGUUAUAAUUAUAUGAGCACAUGAGUUAUGAUAUUUGGAUUAUGAUGCUAUAUAGAAAUUUCGAUUGUGAAUUAGUGAUUUGAGUUGGCAUAUGAAUUAUGUGUUAAGAACAAAAGUGAUUAAAAGCAAAUGUUUAUUAAAUGGUUUGAGAAUGUGAAAUUAGUAAUGAAUUGGCUAUUUGUGAUAGUAUGUAUUAUGCGCAUUUAUGUGUAAGAUAAAUUUUAGGCUUUACUACACUCACCCCCAUAUUAGUAAAAUGUUACAAUGAAAUUUGUAAGAUUUUGAUUGAAUAAGCUUACGAGUGUAGUGUUACAGAAGUUUGUGUAAGGAAGAUUAAUAAUGUGGUCGGAAAAGUGAAUGAAUUAGCAAAUGAAGACAAUAUAAAAAGAGAGAUAUUGGAUAGUUCUGAAAACUACUCAGAUUAUGCAAAAUUACUGUCACAAAAGAAGUUAAAUCCGAUGAAAUGAUUUAUUCAGGUAUGUUAUUGAAAGAAAUAAUUAACCAGAAGUUUUUCUGGAUCGAUUUCUAUUAGUAAAGAGAUAAUGUGAAAAUUCUGAUGACAGAAUUAGACAAUUGAGUAAUGUUUGUAUUGUAUUAAUAGCUGAGUACAGUAGCUAUAAUGGGGUAAUAGUAUAAUGGGGUAAUUACUAUGAUUCCUUUUAGACAUUCUGUGUGUACAAUUAUCCUUAGAGGUAUAUGUGACUGUUUAGUUUCAAAAAGAAUUCUUAUCGUAUGAGAACAUUAGCUAAACUUAUUAAUAGAUGAAAGAAUUAUUGGUUUGUUUGGGUUAUGUUCGACAUUGCCAUGUCUUUUUCUGGUAUUUAUUCUCUUGUGUGAAUAUGAAAAUCAAUGGUAAAGUCUGAGUGAGGUUAAUAUUUUGUUUCUACUGGUUAUUGUUCUAUUGAAUAUACGUGAAGAUUAAAUUUCUUCUGUUACUUUGGAUUCCAUUAAUUAUGAGUGACAUUGAUAUUUCUAGACAUUUUUUUAUUAUCAUCGGAAUGGAUAUCAUUCUAUAUGGAUUGUAAUUUUCUGAUACUUUGUGUAGCUUCAGAUGCUAAAAUAUCACUAUUUUGAUUUUCUUAUGAAUCUAUGUAAUUAUUUGUAAAAGAUAUGAAAGUCCGAAAUCAUGUGUGAAUUUGAAAUGUACUGUGUGGAAGCAAAUCAUUAAUCUACUAUCUGGUAAGAUUUUCGAGGAUGAAAAUCCCUAAAGGGGGGAGAGUUGUAAUAGCCCGAAUUUGGGGCUAGUCAAAAUAGUGGUUUCGGGACCUUCGACGAGAAAAAAAUUUAUUUUCAUUAUAUUUUUAUGAUCUACGAUUUCACAAAAUGAUUUCGUGAAAAUUUCGUUUCAAAAAUUUUGACGUUUGGGCACUGAAUUUAGUCACAAGGACUAAAUUGUAAAAAGUGCAAAAAUUGAGUUCUAUAUGUUAGAGGUGUCCAAUUUUUAUGAAAUUUUAAAUUGGAGGUCUUUAUAUGACAAUUAGACCAUUGGUUAAGUUGCUGGACAAAAAUGGGUAUGGUAAGGCAUGUUUCCAAAGUUUUUCAUUAAGGGCAUUUUGGUUAUUUAGUUAUUAAAAUGAAUUAAAAACAAAAUUAAAAGCCAAUUUUUGUCCAUCUUCAACCCUUAGGCCGAAAAUUGCUUGGAGAAACCAUGGCUAGGGUUUUUCAAGCUUCUAAGCUCGAUUGUAAGUCCGUUGUAUCCCCGUUUUUAAUGAUUUUUACGUUUUUAAAAUCCUCAUAACAAGAUUUACCUAUUUUACCAUUGUUUUGAACUAGGGUUUGUGUUUAAAAAUUUACCCAUGAAUGAUAUGCAUGUAUUUUGAUGUUUUAUGGAAGAAUAUGAAUGUUUAGAGUGUG